AUCAAGGGUAGUUUAUUCCAAGAAUAAAAGGAUGGUUCAAUGAGUAAAUCUGUAACAUAAUUAAUUCUAUUAAUUGAUUAAAAAGAAUAAUGUGAUUAAUAUCCAGUAUGUUGAAAGGGGAUUUUGUGAUAUUUUAAACACAUUCUUAAUUUAAGAAAAACUUUUAAUGACAUAAGUACAGGUGAAUAGCUCCUUAAAUAUCCAUUUGUCUAUUCACUUACCCCAAAGCCAGGAUCAUGCUUAGUGGGAAAUACUGGAGCUUGCUUAUUGAAGUCAAGAGCAGAGCAAAGAUAUCAUUGAUUACAAUUUUGAUUUAAUAUUUUUCUGGUGAUUUAGCCAAUGUAAUGAGAUAAAGAGAAUAAAAAACAAGAGGCUUAAAAAUUGGGAAAAGAGGAACUAAAUUUUACAUUAUUUGAAAGGAAACUAUUACCUAUGUGGCAAAUCCAGGCAUAUCAACUGAAAAGCCAUUAUAAUUAGUAAAAGAAUUCGGUAAAGGACUGGUACAAAAUUAGUAUACCAAAAUCAAUAGCUUUCACAUGCACACAUACCAACAACGACUAGUUGGAAGAAACAAUAGAAGAAAAGAUCUAUUGACAUUAAUAGCAAAAGAUAAAAUAACCAGAAUAACCAGGGAGUAGUAAGAUGAAUAUAAAACAAACUUGAAGAUGCAACCGAGAGGCAGUAAAAGAGGCUUAAACAAACAGUAGCAUACCCUAUCCUUGAAUAGUGAAACAAGAACCCAUAGGUAUUACUUCUCCUUAAGUUAUCCAUAAAUUUAAUGUGAGACCAAUGAAAAUACGAACAGAAAUUUUGGGGAUCUGGUCAAGCUGAGUCCCCAGAGAUUAAGAACUCUCUGUGAAAUAGAAUGGCCUUCUUUUGGUGUUGGUCAGCUGGCCAAGGGAACUAUAGAUAGAGAAACCAUUGGCUGUGUAUUUAAGGUGGUGACGGUGUUGGAGGACAGCCAGGGCAUCUGGACCAAUCCACUUAUAGUAACUCAUGGCUGAAAUAAUGCAAACCUGCCUGCAGGGCUGCAGCCCUGUUUGUCAACUUACUGCAAAACACUCC
rnacentral:lncRNA from 1 species